AUACAGAAGCCUCAAGCGUUACCCGGAUUCACUGGGCGUAAAGGGUUCGUAGGCGGUUAUAUUAGUCGGGUGUUAAAUCCUGAGGCUCAACCUCAGGCUCGCAUUCGAAACGGUAUAACUAGAAGAAGUGAGAGGUGAACAGAACUCGUGGUGUAGGGGUGAAAUCCGUUGAUAUCAUGGGGAAUACCAAAUGCGAAGGCAGUUCACUGGCACUUUCUUGACGCUGAGGAACGAAAGCGUGGGUAGCGAACGGGAUUAGAAACCCGAGUAGUCC
rnacentral:rRNA from 1 species